rnacentral:rRNA from 1 species
ACCAGACUCCUACGGGAGGCAGCAGUGGGGAAUAUUGGACAAUGGGGGGAACCCUGAUCCAGCGACGCCGCGUGAGUGAAGAAGUAUUUCGGUAUGUAAAGCUCUCUCAGCAGGGAAGAAAGAAAUGACGGUACCUGACUAAGAAGCCCCGGCUAACUACGUGCCAGCAGCCGCGGUAAUACGUAGGGGGCAAGCGUUAUCCGGAUUUACUGGGUGUAAAGGGAGCGUAGACGGCGAUGCAAGUCUGAAGUGAAAGGCGGGGCUCAACCCUGGGACUGCUCUGGAAACUGUAAAGCUGGAGUGCGGGAGGGGCAGGCGGAAUUCCUGGUGUAGCGGUGAAAUGCGUAGAUAUCAGGAGGAACACCGGCGGCGAAGGCGGCCUGCUGGACCGUAACUGACGUUGAGGCUCGAAAGCGUGGGGAGCAAACAGGAUUAGAUACCCCUGUAA